rnacentral:lncRNA from 1 species
AUUUACUUACUAAAAUGAAAUUUAAUUAAUAAAAAUAUCAAAAAAAAUUUAAUUCUCGCUUCCCCACGUUCUCCCUCCCUCCCUCACUCUCUCUUUUUCAUCUUCUAUUGUCUUUUCAUUUUUCUUUCUUUAAAAACAUAUCGAGGAUUAGAAAUCUAAUAAGAACGGAAUGAAAUCUUGAAUUGAAGCAUAACUUGUUUAUUUAUACAAGAAACUAUAAUUAAUUCAUAACUAGAAAUUGGUUGAGCCUAACUAAUAGUAGUUAUUUAGUUGCUUCUGUUAAUUGCUAUUGCUAACAUCUACUGAUAUUUCCCUUGCAGAAGCGCAAAAAAUAGUAAGUGAAAUUACGUUGAGUUUAUCACGACAUUGAGCAAAACUCCCUAUGGUCAGCGGUUUGUUGAGUAUAUCUGCUACUUGAUCUCUGCCAGGAGCAUAGUUCACCUACAGGUUGACACUCAACACCUUGUCCCAAAUGAAAUGCAGGUCAAGUUCCACAUUCUUCACUCGAGCAUGUAACACUGGGUUGGCAGCCAAUAACACUGUGCUGGAAUUGUCACACCAGACAACUGGAGGUCCAGGAAGUUUUAUCUCAACUUCAUCAACUAGAGAAUGAAACCAGGUUCCUUCAGAAGCUGCAUUUGCCAAGCUUCUGUAUUCUGCUUCUGUAGUGGGUCGUGACACUACACUUUGUUUCUUAGAUGUCCAACCAAUGAGAUUAUAUCCAAGAUGCACACAGUAACCUGAUGUGGACUUACGAUCUUCAAGACAACUUGCCCAAUCAGCAUUAGAAAAUCCAGUCAACGUGAUCCUUGAAGGCUGAAAAACUAUUCCAUGAUCAAGUGUCCCUCGAACAUACCAUAAAAUACGUUUAACAACACUCGAGUGAAUGUCAUGUGCCUGAUGCAUGUAUUGGCUCACCUUAUUAAUAGCAAAUGCAAUAUCCGGUCGGGUGAGACACAAGUACUAUAUUCCUCCAACAACUUGCUUGUACGUUGUACCAUCAUCAAGUGGAGUGCCAACUAGAGAAGUCAAUGUAGGUGAACUCACCAUAGGAGUGCGAACAGACUUAGCAUUUGUCAUAUUUGCUCAAUCCAACAACUCUCAAGCAUACUUGUACUGGGAAACAUGCAUACAAUCACCUUUGCGAAUGACUUCAAGUCCAAGAAUAUAACUGAGAUCCCCUAAGUCCUUUAAAGAAAACUUCUCAUCAAGACACUGCACUACUUGAUCAAUUUCCAAGUUUGAAUCGCCUGUGACGAUUAUGUCAUUGACAUAUACAAACAAAAUAACACAUCCAACUGUAGUUUUCUUGAAGAACAAUGACAGAUCUGCAUGAAAAAGCUGUAACUGUUGCUUCUAAACUAGAAAAUCUCUCAGCUUUUCAAACUAAGCUCUCGGGGCUUGUUUAAAACCAUAUAGUGCCUUGUUCAGUUUGCAGGCUAGAAGAGUCCCAUUUGCAUCACAAACUUCAAAUCCAAGAGGCUGUGUCCGAAUAAAAAUACUGAAACCCAAACCUAGCCUGAAAAAUGAGCACAAAAAUUUUCUCAAGCCUAGCCCGAAUAAAAAUACUAAAACCUAGAUCUAACAUGACUUGGUCUCAUCCUUAUUAAAUUUUUUUAUAUAAAAAAAUUUAAAAACAUAAUACAUCAAAAACACUAAAAGCAUUAAAAUAAAUGUUUCCCAACAAAUUGAAAAUAAAUUAAAAAAUAUUUUUAUACUUAAAUAACACUAAAAUAUGUGCAACUUAAUAAGCAAAGGCUUCUAAAAUAGUAGCAAAAUUAACAAUAAAACUAGAGUUUUAUAAUAUCCAAACAAUAACAACAAAAUAGUAACAACAUAAUAAUAACAAAACAAAAGUAAAACAGUGAGAAAACAACAUAUUUUUUUUUUGUAAAUUCGGGUUGAGCCCGAGUAAAAAAAACCUUACUCUAAUGUUUUUGCUCAAGCCCAUUUUUCAAGACUAUAUUUUGUCCAAACCCUUCCACUUUUCGAGCAAGCCUUCGGUCCAGACCACCCAACCUGACCCAUGGAUAGGUCUACUUGAUUAAUAUUUCUCUCUUUUUUCUUUUGGUACUUAAGUAUCUAGGUUCUAGACUCACCAUUUGCAAUUUUAUGCCUGAGUCUCGAAGUCCCAUUAUGUGCAACUGCCAUGUGUGGGCUUAGUCCAGUUAGUUCAGUUUGAUGAUUUUAGUUUGGAUAGUACCAGUUUUUAGUUCGAUCGUGUUGUAAUAGUUUGAUUUUAUUUUGUGAUUCCUUGAAUAAUCUAUGUUGUAAUAAUUUGAUAUUUGCGAUUAUUCAAAUAUAAAUUUAUAUUUGUACUUUGAUUGUACUUAUCGCACUUUAAAAAAAUUCAAACCCUUUUAACCCCUUAAUUAAAUGAAAUUUUGUAUAUUUAUCCUUAUUAAACAUUAAUAAUUCAAUCAAAACCCCUUUAGUCCCUUAGUUAAAUGAAAAUGAGGCAUUUUGACGCUUAUCAACAAAAUACUAUAUACAAUUUUAAUUUUGAAAAUCAAAAUCCUUAUCAUGUUUAAAAUUAGGAAAAAAAAUGCCAAUGAGGAUUUGGCAUUGGAUGCAAAGGCUGAAACCUUAAGUAACUCAUCGUAUAUAAUUGUCAUGUUUAGAUUUUUAACCUAAUCAUCAUGAGUGAAUUUUAUCUGAUUAUAUUUCUAUUUUUUGUACGUUUAUAUUUUGUAUUAGUUUAACUCUAUUUAUAAACUCUUAAAAGUUAAUACAUUAAACUUUUUUUUUGUCUGAUUUUCAGGAUUCUGAUAUAUACAACAAAAGAAGAAAUAAUUACACAAGAACAAUUAUGCAGUAUAUGGCAACAAAGCAUGAUAAUGUUGGAUUUCAUUGUUGCAAGUGACAGACAAGACAACAGAUUCAAGUGGUAAUCCCAUAAACGUUUGUUUGGCUGCUCAGAAAUUUCGGCUUCAUAUGGACUUCUAGUCAACCCAAAAUUAAUGCAGCCAUUUUAAACUUUCAUACUUGUCUAAGAAUCAAACAUAAAUUGGUGACCCACCAAAAUGGUUUAACUGCACGUGGAUUGCCCAAUUCCCAAGUCACGAAUUUUUUCUGACCACCGAAAUGAAAUUAUAAAAUUUUAGGAAUUAAAAUUAAGAAUUUUGCAUUAGAAAUUUUUAAAUUGAAAAUUUAUUUUUUCAAAAUACAAAUUUUAUUAUUUAAUUAAGGUUAAAGAGGCUAAUAAUAACAAUUUCGAUUUUUUAGAAAGGCCUAAAAGUAAAUUUCCUAUUUAGCCAAUGAGCGAAGGCCGUUUCUCCUACCUAUCUACACUUCUAAUUGGUAUGUAUUCAACAUAAACUUGAUAAUGGUGAGUUCACUUGUCCAAGUUCGAAGGCCUGUUUAAAAAGUGGAAGCAUUUGAGAAAAAUAGACUUAAAAAAUAAACUUGAAAAAAAAAUUCAUUUUUUAAACGGCCGAGCCUUAGGUAAUAUUCUUUUGGCCCGGGCUCGGUCCGAAUUUGCCUAAAAAUUGUUUGCUGCUAUUUUGUUGUUGUUUUGCUAUCAUUUUGCUAUUAUAUUGGUACUAUUUUAUUGUUAUUGUUUAAAUAUUAUAUAACUAUUAUUUUAUUGUUAAUUUUGCUACUAUUUUAAAGGCAUUUGCUUGUUAAGUUGCAACUAUCUUAGUGUUAUUUAAUUAUAAAAGACUUAUUUUAAUAUAUUUUCAAUUUAUUGGAAAACAUUUAUUUUAAUAUUUUUAGUGUAUUUGAUGUAUUAUAUUUUUUUAUAUUAUUUUUAUAUAAAAAUAAUAUAAAAAAAUUUAAUACAGGUGGGCCGAGGUUGGGCUUAGCAUUUUUUAUCAGGGCCAGAUUUUGGCAAAAUUUCAUAUCUAUUUUUCGAGCCAAACCUAGAAAAUGGACAUAAAAUUUAACAUCGACCCGGUCUGAACCCGACCCAACCCAUGAUCAGGUCUAAUUCAACAUAGUGGAUGAAAUUUUUUGGGUGAGACUUUGCUCACUGUCUUUAGAGUUACGGACAAUUAUAACUCAUUUUAUUUGUAACACCCCUAGCUCGUUCCGGUUGCUGGACUUGAGCUAGAGAAGGUUACCACACGAAACUCACAAAACAAACACAUACUUCAUACAUACAUGGCAAGCCGUGCCACAAACUAAUAUGUGACGAGCUGGUCCUAUGGGUCAUCCAUCUGCUUACUGAAUUGCAAAUGGCUAAACUGCAAAUUAUCCCGUGGACACAAAUAUUGCAGAAAGUAAGGCAAAUAUCAAAUUUUAUAAUUUUCUGCAAAUACUUAUAUGGCGGACUGUUCCACGGAUGCCCUACACUGUGAUAGGACUUGAGGAAUUUAUAAUGCGGAACAUAACAGAACUUGAGUUCAAUUUAUUUACAUACAUCCAGAUAGUUCAAAGAAAUUACCUUCAAAAUUUUAACAUAUUUGCUUACAAUAACCAAACUUCUAUAUACAAACAACCUAGAUCGACCCAAACAAAAUCAAAAGUCUACCACAAUUUUGGGCGGAAAGUGUGAACUUCUUGCUAAUCCAAUUGUCAUGCUCUAAACAUUCAAAAUCUACAAGAUAAAAGCAACCUAGGCAUAAGUAUUAAGAAUACUUAGUAAGCUCAUACAAAUUCAAUAGCUAACUUACCUCACAUAAUAAUUAUAUGAUAAUUUAAUAUGCAAACACAGUUUACCUAUCAGCCAACACAACUCAUCAACAAGGUUAGUGUGUAUACUUUAUCACAUACAAUAUAUCGAGUACACAACAUAAUGCAAUAACACUAUUCAUUUCUAAUUCAUUCACAUACCUUUCAUUGGCGCGAGUUCUAAUUUAAUAGACAGGCUUUCUAUAACGCCCCAAAAUUUUAAGAAUUUAAUUGUGAGAAUCUGUAGUAAUUAAUUUCUGUAUUUCUGGUGUUGUGCUCUGCUUCUAGGUUUAAGGUUUGGAGUUCGAGUCGCUUUAUUGAAAGUUUUGUUGUGUUUUUAAAUCAACCCAUGAGCCUGCGUUACCCGAUUAAGUUCAAUUCAGUGUGAAAUGGUGACAAGAAUGAGCCUGCUGGUUCACUGGUUAAGCAUUUGUUUGUAUUCUGUUUGGUUCCGAGUUCAAAUCCCAUUGUACGCAUUAGGAAUAUAUUUUCUUUGCAAAUGUCGAGAAGGGUGGUGGUUAAUUUAAAACAAUUUAAGAAAAGUUAUAGUUCUUUUUCUUUCAAAAUUUUAGUUCUUUAAUUUUUGUUGUUCUUCCUUUUUUUUCAAUUUUUUUUCUUUUUUCUUCUUUUUUGCAAUUGAUCUUGUGUGAUUGUGAAGUCUUGUUGCCUGUGAGAUCAAUUUUGUGUAAGUUCCGUUGCAACUUCCUUUCGUUGUGAUUUUCAUUUUGUUAACAUUUUUCUGUCAAAACGAGACUUUGCUCGUUUAGUUGAUUUUCUGUUAAACACUUUAUUGGUCACUUUGUUUAGGCAAUGAUAUUGCAAAAGACGGUAAUCCGCCGUGUUAGGUUGAAUUCUCCUGUUUCAUAUAAGGUGAGUGUGCAAAUUGGAAUAGAAUUGUGUCGAACCUUUCGACAUGUUUUUAACGAUAAGUGAUUUUGCUAAAUGUUGGAAUUGAUAGUGUAAUUAAUUGUAGAAUGACUAAUUAGGUUUCGGGUAGUCUCCAUAUUAUUUCUCUGUCAAAACGAAAUCAGGUGCGUACCGAAAAAUUUAAUUUGCAAGUUUCGGAUCACCAAAAAUGGUGGUUGUUAAUGCUACACAGCCAGGCACACGGGCGUGUAACUAGGCCGUGUGGGCCACUCGGCCGUGUGAACGACCGUGUAACUCAUUAUUUACUGAAUUAAGGCCACACGAGCGUGUGUCUAGGCCGUGUGUGGCCAUGCUAGUUCAGGGUUCACACUGCCAGGGACACGGGCGUGUGCCCAAGCCGUGUAACUCACUGUUUGUAGUAUAAAAACCACAUGGCUAGGUAUACGGGCGUGUGCCCAGGCUGUGUAACUCAUUGUUUGAGGUAUAAAAACCACACGGCCAAAGACACAGGCGUGUGCCCAGGCCGUGUAUCUCAUUGUUUGUGCUUAAAAACCACAUGGCCAAGGCACAUGGGCAUGUGCCCAAGCUGUGUUGCAGGAUGUUGGGUCGGAGAACUAUUUUUGAGGUCGAGAAUGUUGCUAAACUUUGAUAUUGGUUUCCUCAAUGUGCAAAUGACUGAAUUUGUUUAUAUGAGAACUGUCUGAUACAUUGAGACUGAUCUGUGAAUCACAUACUUGAAUAUGCACUGUAAUACCACUCUAUUAUUGAACUAUUUUAUUAAUUAUGUAAUGUAUUUGUAUGACUAAACAUGUGUUACGGUAGGUAUGGGGUGGGAUAUUGUAAAGGAAGAAGAAACCUGUUCUGAAAUCGUGGCUAUGCCACUAAGAGUAAUCUGAUUCUGGCGCUUGUCGCAUACUGAAUUAGCAGCUAAGCUGCGUUUCUGUAAAAGUUUCAAUGAACACUUAAUGGUGUGAAGGAUUGGUUGGGCAUUGAAUGUCCUUAAUGGUGUGUUGCGAUGGCGGAAGAUGGUGUGUAGCGGACGUCAAUAGAAAAAUUGCAUCUGAAUCUGAUCGGUGUCGUAUACAUGUAACUGGUCUGCUCUGAAUCUAAACUAUCACUCUUCUGAAAUGAACUAAAUACUUGAAUUUGGAAUUUCGCUAUAAAUGAUAUCUAAUAAAUAAACUUAUUUUACUCACUGAGUUCACAACUUACUCCUUUAUUGAUUGGAUUUCAAGUGGUUUCUAGUCUUGAUCGGGUUAGGGUCGCAGAAGCUUGGUCAAACCUUUACCUUUCUUUUAAGCAUUACUAAGAUUUAUUAUUCUGUGAUGUUAUGGAACUUAUGAAGAUUAUGUGCUUUAAAUUUCGUGGUGAUGAUUGUUACGUAAUGAAUAGCUCAAUUCGAUUGCAUUAUGAUAGUAUGAACUAUAAUACGGAUGAUGUAACUCUCCAAACUUGGUCUAGACGUCUAGACUAGGCUUAGGGUGUUACAUUUUCCAUUACCCCUUAUUUCUUAAUUUACCAGCUCCACAUCUCGCAUGUUUUAUAUUACCUGAUGAACAUCGUAAAAGAACUCAAAAUGCAGGUAUGCUUUCAAAGGCUCGUUCGAGCUAAUCAUGUACAGGAGUGUCAGGUUACCUGUUCGAGCUAAACCUUUAUUGACACAAUGAAAGCCUAACCAAGACUGUAUAUAUAAAACAUAUUUGUCUAUUCAACAACUUUUCCUUUCGCACGAUCUUCUCUCGGCCGAUUCAAAACUUGAUCUAUAAUAUAAUUUAAUUCAAUUUUUAUCAACCGUUAUCAUUCAUUAAUUUAUGAAACAUAUUAGUUAGUUCAAUUUUAUCACUCUAGAUUCCUUUAAACCUAACAUAUUAAACAAUCAAACCUUUUAUAACAAAGUUUAUAGAAUCUUAAACUGGUUUUGAAAUGUCUACACUCUAAUCUUGAUAGUCAAAACUAACAAAUUCUCAUUAUUCCAAGUAAUCCUUUUUCAUAAACCCUCUUCUAAACUAAUCAUUUACCACCACAAUUUCAAGCAUUCUACAAUGGUAAUCUCAUGAAAUCUUUAACAGUUUUAGAAACAAACACCACUAUUAGCUAGAUUGAAGUACAACAAUUUCAAAAACAUCAAAUCCAAGCAAAACGGGCUCGAAUUAGCUUACCAUGCAAGAGCACAAAGCUUGGCCGAGCUUUCCUAGCUUAACAAAGAAGAAAGAUGAUGAUAGAGAGAAUGAAAGAAAGAAAAAAAUGAGUUUUCUUCACUCUGUCCAUUAUGUUACAGUAUAUAUAUAUUGUCGAAACCAUCUUUUUAUUUAAAAUUUUAAGUUUAAUAAAAAAUAGGGAAUCGACUAUUUGAAAAUAAAAACAUAGAGUCACCACCAAUCUUUUUGUUUUGGUGUGAUUGGGUCACCUAAAAAUUUGGCUAUUAAAAUAUUUCUGUUUUAUUAAAACAAUGAUUUUGGUCUACGAACUUUUGAGAAAACGGAUUCGGGAGUCAGCUACGCAUGAGGAAGGAUUAGCACCCUCACUAUGCCCAAAAUUGGUACCAAAUCGAUUAAAUACUGUCCUUGCGUCUAAGAUUUAAAAAUGUUUUUGAAAUGUGGUUCCCUUUUGGUGAUAUUUGAAUAACCCGAGUUGGUUAUCAAAAUUCUCUUGCUUAAGAGGAAUAUAGCACCACAUCUAGCAUGAUAGGACACGAUCUUUCAUGCCCUACAAUUGUUUCACAUAUAUAUAUAAUUAUUAAACUAUAUGUUAUGGAAUAAAUAUUUUAAUCGAGUGACAUACAAAAUAUUGAAGAAUAUUAGCUUAAAAUUAACAAUUUUCAUAAAUAUUUUAAAUUAUGUACCAAAUAUGAAGAGAUUACAAAUAUAUAUAAUAAGAUAUAAUCUUAGAAACAUAAUUUUUGGACACUUGAGCAGAGUAGUGUAUUCUUCGAUGGUAAAUACCAAAUCCACUUCUCUAAAAGUGAAACAUUUGUAAGCAGAAUUCCAAAACUGCACCAUAACUCGGAACAGAUGCUUAUCCACUCUAAUGUCUAGCAAGUAGGAUAUAUCACCAUAGCUUUGAUAAAACAACUGCUUGGUCCCUUCAUCCCAACUAGCCCAAAUAUCUCUCAACUCUUACAGCUUAUUCUGUGCUACAUUGACACGAGUGAAUUCCUGCAACUCUGAUAUAUAUCCUUCUGCCAAGCUAUCCCCUUUUUCUGAUUCUAGCUUCUCUAACCAUACACGAACAGCCGCAUUAUCCUCGACUUUACUAAGAAAUUCAUUCUCCAUGUCAAACUUUCUAACUUAGCAAUUGAAUACGAAUCAACACCUUCUUUAGUAUGCAAUGUCAUGCAAAAAACAAUCAAAACAAAACACAGGUUAGUAUCAAAUAAUGGCGAUAAAAUGCAAGCAUAUAAACGAUAAUUAAUAUGCAUAUACGGGUAAUUACUAAGGCUUGACGCGGCUCUACUCGAGGAUAGCUCCUAAGGUUCACUAUAUGUGGUUUGGUUCUAGAGAUAAGGUACCCGAACCAGCAGAUCCCUCAAUCCUCACCCAUUAUAGGCUCAUAUAGAUUGAGUUCAGUUCAAGGGGAUACAUUUCCCUAUGACCAUGCGGAGAUGAAAAUCUCACGAAAUCAUAGGUACGGAUGUACCCCUGAAGCAAUCCACUAGCCCAUGCGGAGGUGAAAAGCUCACGAAAGCGUAGUUUCUUACUCCCACUUAGAAGCUGUGACCACAGCGGUCAUGCAAUGAAAUGCAGUAUUAUUCUACGAGAUUCGAAGCAUAACAACCAUACAAACAAAUGCGAUCAUGAUUUUCAAAACAAGUUUUCGAUUUUUGACAAAAGGACAUCAAAUAAUCAAUUUUAUGGCUAGACUCUCUUAUCCGGUCCCCAGUGGAGUUGCCAAGCUGUCGAAACCAUCUUUUUAUUUAAAAUUUUAAGUUUAAUAAAAAAUGGGGAAUCGAAUAUUUGAAAAUAAAAACAUGGAGUCGCCACCGAUCUUUUUGUUUUGGUGUGAUCGGGUCACCAAGAAUUUGGCUAUUAAAACAUUUCUGGUUUAUUAAAACAAUGAUUUUGGUCUACGAACUUUUGAGAAAACGGAUUCGGGAGUCAGUUACGCAUGAGGAAGGAUUAGCAUCCUCACUAUGCUCAAAAUUGGUACCAAAUAAAUUAAAUACUGUCCUUACGUCUAAGAUUUAAAAAUGUUUUUGAAAUGUGGUUCCCUUUUGAUAAUAUUUGAAUAACCCGAGUUGGUUAUCAAAAUUCUCUUGCUUAAGAGGAAUAUAGCACCACAUCUAGCACGAUAGGACACGAUCUUUCAUGCCCUCGAAAGCAUGACAAAUUUUGACUUCCAAAAAUUUAUACGUUGAAAACUGUAAAAGGAUGCCCAAUUAUUUAGUCCAACGAGAAGAUCGAAACCCAGCACAGUAGGACACGACUCCUCGAAUUUCUAGAUAUCAGACAUUGCCUUAUUUUAGAAUUUAAAAAGUAUGAGUGAAGUUCUAAAGGAAUCUUCGAUCAUUUUGGACAAACAGAAAAUUGCAACCCAGCACAUUAGGGUACGAUUACCCGAAUUGCCAAACUUCGAAUAUUACCUUCGUUUUGAAGAGUUUUUAGAAAACAUAAAUGAAAUUCUAAAGGGACAUUCGAUUAUUUUGAGUAAACGAGAAAUUGCAACCCAGCACGUUAGGGCACGAUUCCGCGAUUUGUCAAAUAUUGAACAUCGCCCUCGUUUUAAAGGAUUUUUAGGAGACAUGAGUGAAAUUUUGAAGGAAUAUUCGAUUAUUUUGAGCAAACAAGAAAUUGCAACCCAGCACGUUAGGGCAUGAUUUCGCGAAUUGUCAAAUAUCGAACAUCACCUUCGUUUUAAAGAAUUUUUAAACGAAUAAUUAUAAAAAUAACUUAAAACAUAUUAAUGUGACUCGAAAUAAGACAGAAUUAAUCAUAAAAAUUUAGAUUUUAUAAAACCAAAUUUCAUAAACCAAGUGGAAAACACUUUAUUUAACCAACUAACAAACACUUACAACUAAGUAUAACUAACUUGGAAAUAUAGCUCAAUUUCAAUCAUGCAUGGAGAAUAAUUAACAUGACAAUACAAAACAAUGAAUAAAUAAAUAAUGCAACGAUAACAUGCAUGGCAUAAUGUAAUAUGACUACUACUAGAUACACGAAACAAAAUGCAAAUCAAAGAAGUAAUAUGGUAUAAAACUAUUUUAAAACAAUGAUAAAUAAACGAUGCACACUAUAUGAAUUGAUGGAUUGAUAAAUAAAACAUUUGUAAAGGCAAGCUUAAUAUACAUAUGCGAUCAUUAAAAUAUAUUUUGUAGAAUGAAUCUUUUUUUUAAAAUACAUAAUAUAUAAGUUGAUAAAUUCGCGUAGAAACUAAGAAUAUGUAAUCAUUGAAAGAAAUAUUAUAGAAUAAAACUUUGAAUCAAAUUGCAUGUUGUGAAAAAAUAAAAAAAAUAAUAAAUAAAAUAAAAAACACACAAAUUUUACGUGGAAACCCUUUCGGGAAAAAAACCACGGGCAGAGGAGAAGAAAAUUUACUAUGUCGAAAAUUUGAACCAAUACAAGAGCAAUAGACUAUGUCUAUUUAUAGGCUUGUAAAGCCAUAUUCUAGUAGGAUCGAAACACCUUAUCCUAAUUAAUAUAAAAUAGAUGAAUUUUAAUAAGGUUUAAAAAACCUUAUUCUAAAAUAAAAUAAAAGAAGUCUAGUUCUAUAUGGAUUUUACUUUUAUUUUAUUUUCCAUCUUAUUUUAUUUAAAUAAUAAUUUGGGUCACUUAAUUCUAACAAUCUCCUCCUUGAGACAAAUUCUCAAUGAACAAGUUCUUCAUCGCGAACUUUCAAUAAACAAGUUCUCCACCUCUUCCAUAAAACCCCUUAAGGGUUUAACUUCAACAAUGUACACCAACCAAGUCUAAGCAAUGCUCAAACUUGGUUAUAGGAAGUGACUUAGUCAUCAUAUCUGCAGGAUUUUCAUGAGUACUAAUUUUGCUCACAACAAUAUCACCACGAGCAAUAAUAUCAUGAACAAAAUGAUACCGAACAUCAAUGUGUUUUGUUCUCUCAUGAAACAUUUGAUCUUUUGUAAGAAAGAUGGCACUCUAACUGUCACAAAAUACUGUGCUGAUUUGAAGGUCUUCAUUGAGUUUACUAAAGAGUCCCUUCAACCAAAUAGCUUCUUUACAAGCCUCAAUAAUCGCCAUGUACUCAGCUUCAGUGGUAGACAAAGAGACUGUAGACUGCAAAGUGGCUUUCCAACUGAUUGCACAACCUCUGAUUGUAAAGACAUAACCUGUGAGAGAUCUUCUUUUAUCAAGGCCUCCAGCAAAAUCAGCAUCAAUAUACCCUAUGACUCCAUCUGUAGUUCUUCCAAACUGUAAGCAAACAUCAGUAGUACCUCGUAAGUAUCUUAGAAUCCACUGAACUGCUUUCCAGUGUUCUUUACUGGGAUUCGUCAUGUAUCUGCUAACUGCACUGACUGCAUAUGAUAAAUCUGGACGUGAACAAACCAUAGCAUACAUGAGAGAUCCCGCUGCACUAGAGUAUGGAACAUGUGACAUGUACUCAAUCUCGUCAUCUGAUUGUGGAUACAAAACUGAUGAAAGUCUGACAUGGGCUGCUAAAGGAGUACUAACAGGCUUAGCACUCUACAUAUUGAACCUGCAAAGAACUUUCUCAAUGUACCCCUUCUGACUUUAGUACAAUUUACUUGUUUUUCUAUCUCUAAGAAUCUCCAUUCCAAGUAUCUUCUUUGCUGGUCCUAAAUCUUUCAUUUCAAAUUCUUUACUUAGUUGGGUUUUGACAUUUCUUAUCUCUCCUUUAUCUUUUGCUACUAUCAACAUGUCAUUAACAUAAAGAAGUAGAUACACAAAAGAACCAUCACUGUUUUUCUUAAAGUAAACACAACUAUCAAGACUACUUCUUUUGAAAUUAUGAGAAGUCAUAAAGGAAUCAAACCUCUUGUACCACUGUCUUGAUGACUGUUUCAAACCGUAAAGGGACUUUUUCAGCAAGUAAACAUAGUCCUCUUUUUUCUGAGACUAUAAAACCUUCUGGUUGUUGCAUGUAAAUAUCCUCCUCAAGUUCUCCAUGCAGAAAUGCAGUUUUUACAUCUGACUGCUCAAGCUCCAAAUCAUGCAUGGCCACAAUACCAAGCAAAGCUCGAAUCGAACUAUGCUUAACAACUGGAUAGAACACAUCUGUGAAGUCCACUCCUGGAAUUUGAUUGUAACCCUUUGUAACAAGCCUUGCUUUAUAUCUGGGUUCUUCAACUCCUGGAGUCCCUUCUUUCUUUUUAAACACUCAUUUACAAUGAACAACAUUUUUAUCUUUAGGAAGUUUCACAAGGUCCCAUGUUCUGUUUUUGUGGAGUGAUUCCAUCUCUUCUUGCAUAGCAAACAUCCACUUUUCUGAGUCUUCACAGCUAACUGCCUCAGAAUAAUUAGAUGGCUCUUGAUUCGCAUCUAUAUCUUCAGCCACAUUUAAAGCAUAAGCAACUAGAUCAGCCUCGGCAUACUUCUUUGGAGGUUUAAUUUCUGUUCUAGUUCUGUUUUUGGCGAUAGAGUAUUGUGGUGAAGAAGCAACUCUAUUCUCAACUUUUGUUCUGGCUUGAGGAGUUGAUCUAUAUUAAUCUGAUGCUCCACCUGCUUUUGAUUUUCUUUAUUGGAAGAGUCUAUAAGAGAUAAGUUAGGUAGCAUAGCAGUUUCAUCAAAAACAACAUCUCUGCUAAUCACAACUUUUCUAUUUUCAGGACACCAUAACUUAUACCCUUUUACACCAGCUUUAUAACCAAGAAAAACGCAUUUAAUGGAUCUCGGUUCCAAUUUUCCAUUAUCAACAUGAGCAUACGCAGAACACCCAAAAAUCUUUAAAUCAGAAUAAUUAGUAGGAUUACCAGACCAUACCUCUUGUGGAGUCUUUUUCUCAAUGGCAACGGAUGGAGAUCGGUUGAUUAAAAAACAUGCAGUAGAGGAUGCUUCUGCCCAAAAUGACUUCGAUAAGUUGGCAUUUGACAACAUACAUCGAACCUUCUCCAUGAUCGUUCUGUUCAUUCGUUCUGCAACGCCGUUUUGCUGUGGAGCAUGACGAACUGUCAAGUGUCUCAUGAUCCCUUCUGACUUGCACAAUCUAUUAAACUCAUCAGAACAGAACUCUAAGCCAUUGUCUGUGUGGAGGUAUUUUAUCUGUUUUCCCUUCUAUUUUUCAAUUAUAAUUUUCCAAGACUUAAAUGCGGAAAACACAUCGUUUUUCUGCUUCAGGAAGAACGCCCAAACUUUUCUGGAAAAAUCAUCAAUAAAGGUUAGCAUAUAAUUAGCUCCACCUCUCGAAAGCACUCUGGAUGGCCCCCACAGAUCAGAAUGAAUAUACUCCAAUAUUUCCUUCGUGUUAUGGAUUCUUCUAGUGAAUCAAACUCUCUUUUGCUUCCUCAAAACAUAGUGCUCACAGAAAUUUAGUUUGCAAAUUCUUUGCCCAUCAAUAAGUCCUCUUUUACUCAAUUCUACCAAGCCAUUCUCACUCAUAUGCCCUAGGCGCAUAUGCCAAAGUUUAGUAAUAUCAUCAUCUGAUAAGGAAGAGGAAGCGACAGCUGCAUCACUAGUAACAGUAGAACCCUGCAAAACAUAGAACUUCUAAGUUUUUCUUUUCCCUUUCAUCAUAACAAGGGAACCUUUGGAAAUCUUUAAAAUCCCACUUUCAGCUGUAUAUCUGUACCCUUUUGAAUCAAGAGUACUUAACGAAAUUAAAUUUUUCUUCAAUUCUGGAACAUGUCGUACCUCACUAAGUGUUCUGACAACUCCAUCAAACAUCUUAACUUUAACUGUUCCAAACACCUGCGAUUUUACACGAAGCAUUAUUUCCCAUCAAAACAACACCUUCAGACACUGUUUCGUAAGUUGUAAACUAAUCCCGAUUGGGACUCAUGUGGAAGGUACAGCCUGAAUCAAGUAUCCAUUCCUAGAUUACUUUAGAAUCAUUAAUAGAAGCAACUAGAAGUUCACUAUCGCUAUAAUCUUCUACAACAUCAGCUUCACCGGAAUUUUCUGGUUGUUUUCCCUUUUGAUUCGCAGCCUCCUUUUUAAUCUUAUUUUGUAGCUUAUAGCACUCAGAUUUAAUAUGCAUUUUCUUAUUGCAGAAGUUACAAGUUUUACCUCUGUUUGAAGACUUCGAUCUACCUUUAGAUUUACCACGAGGAUUCCGUUCCUGUGUCCUACCACAAUCAUCAUCAGUAUUCCGAUCUUGUCUCCCACGAACAAUGAGACCCUCUUCCUGAGAGUCGGGUUUAACCACAAGAUGCUUCAUCUUAUCAUACGAGGUUAAAAAAUCAUAAACCUCAUCAACUGUGAGAGACUCGCGGCUAUAUAAAAUCGUGUCUCUAAAGGUUGAAUAAGAUGGGGGCAACGAACAAAGUAGAAUCAACCCUAGAUCUUCCUUAUCAUACUGAACCUCCAUGGCGUCCAAGUUUGAGAGAAUUUCUUUAAACACUGUUAAGUGUUCGUGUACAGACGCACCUUCCUCCAAACGAUGAGCAUAAAGACGCUGCUUCAUAUGCAACUUGCUUGUUAGAGUUUUCGACAUACAUAUUUGUUCUAGCCUCUUCCAUAAUGCAGCGACAGUCUUCUCUUUCAUCACAUCCUACAAAAUUUCGUUGGACAAAUGUAGAUGUAAUUGUGUUAAUGCCUUUCGAUCAUUGCGCUUCUUCUCUUCAUCUGUUAAUGUUGAAGGCAUCUUAUCUAUCCCUAGCAGGGCAUCCUCCAGAUCCACCUGUGCAAGAACUGCUUGCAUCUUAAUUUGCCACAACGCAAAUCUGGUGUUGCGAUCCAACAGCGGAAUUUCAUACUUCAAAUACGCUAUUACCGUGAUCGAGAUGAGUAACCCGGAAGCUCUAAUACCAAUUUGUGAAAAAAUAAAAUAAAUAAAUAAAAUAAAGAACACACAAAUUUUACGUGGAAACCCUUUCAAGAAAAAAAUCACUGGCAGAGGAGAAGAAAAUUCACUAUGUCGAAAAUUUGAAUCAAUACAAGAGGAAUAGACUAUGUCUAUUUAUAGGCUUGUAAAGCCAUAUUCUAGUAGGAUUGAAACACCUUAUCCUAAUCAAUAUAAAAUAGAUGAAGUUUAAUAAGGUUUAAAAAUCUUAUUCUAAAAUAAAAUAAAAGAAGUCUAGUUCUAUAUAGAUUUUACUUUUAUUUUAUUUUCCAUCGUAUUUUAUUUAAAUAAGAAUUUGAGUCACUUAAUUCUAACACAUGUAAAUAUUUUAAAUACAAACUCCUUUAAAGGUUUACAAAGUACAUGAUAAUUUGAAUAAUAUAGGCACAAAAGAAUAAUAAAAAUACAUGACAAGACAUAAUACCUAAAAGAGAUUUAUAAAAAAUGUACAUGUAAAUUUAUAAAAAGAAUGAGAUUAAUAAUAUAUAUAUAAAUUUUAAGUUAGUGUAAAAAUUAUACAUGCCCUCAUAUCAAAACAUUUAAAUAAUAGGCUAUAUAAAACACAAAGUAAGUUAAUACAAAGGAACAUCUAAAAAUAAUAAUUUUAUAAUUACAAAAAAUAAGGUUUCUAAAAUAGUUUCACAUAUAUAUAUAAUUAUUAAACUAUAUGUUAUGGAAUAAAUAUUUUAAUCGAAUGACAUACAAAAUAUUGAAGAAUAUUAGCUUAAAAUUAACAAUUUUCAUAAAUAUUUUAAAUUAUGUACCAAAUAUGAAGAGAUUACAAAUAUAUAUAUAUAUAUAACUUUAGAAGUAAUUAUUUGUAAAAACAUGUAAGACAUACAAGAUUAAAUUAAUUUUAUUAUACAUUUCACAAUAGACUUAAGAACGUGCCUAUAGAUGUAAGAAAACUAUAGGUAUAAAAUGUAUCGACUUAGAAAUAUAUAUAUCAAAUAUGUGUACUAAUAUAAGUAAAUAUAAAAAUAAUUUAAACUUUAUGUAAAACAUAUAUACAAAACAUGUUAGAAUAACAAAAGUAUAUAUACCAAAAUACAUAGAUAAGGUCAAAAAUCAUUAUAUGCAUGAAAAUACGUUAACUUUGUUAUAAAAUAUGUAUAUGUAUAAUAAUAUAAAGGAGAUGAACAUUUAAAGUAUACAAAGUAUGAUAAUAAUAUUACAAAAACGAAUCUACAACAAUGAAGAAACAAUUAUCAAAAUUGCUUAAAAUGUACAAAUAAAUAAAUAAAGAAAAUAAAAAGGGCUAUAAAAUAAAAAGACUCAAUUAAAAUUAAACUAAAUCACACGAGGUAAUUUGAAAAUAAUUCAAUAAUUAUAAAAGGACCUAUAGGUAACGCGCGCAGCUGUGUAGGGACUUAAAUUGGAAAUAUUCUAGACCCCCAAAACGCAACACACAAGCGCGGACCAAAAUAAAAAUACACACAAAUUAUGCGUAAAAUUUAAAAAGAAAAAAAUGCGAAUAUUAACUAAUUUGAAAAUGGGGCGAAAAGGGAAGGAUUGAUAUUGCAAAUAAACCCUCACCGCAAAAACACUCGGGUCAUCGGGGUAGCAAACCGGAUCGGGUCGGGCAUGACUAGACGAUGUCGUUUUUAAGCCAUUGAAACGGGCUUGAAACGGCGUCGUAUUUGACCCUUUAAAAGGACCGAAAACUAAAUCAUUCAGCCAAACAAACCCUAGGCUCCCCUUUUCUCCAGCCGAACUAAGCCAAACCCAUUUGGCCAUGGCCCCAUCGCAGCCUACAAUCGACCGAUUUACUGCCCCGUGAUUCCUCCUCCACCUUCGACUUCAAUGAGGCAAGGAAGAAUCAAUGGCGAAUUCGCGAGGUAAGGCUUCGUUUUUCUCUUUUCUUUUAUUUUUAGAUGCAAGGAAUGAAAAAUAAAAUCAUAGGGAGCAGAUCGAGAGAGAUAAAACAUAAUAAACCCAAGAGAUUCAAAACAAGAAAUCACCUUGCUCUGUUUUUUUUUUUACUUUCUAUUGCUUCUGUAUGUCUCUAGAAGACUUUACAAUCGCAAAACGAAAGGCUUUAUAGCCGAGUGUUCCAAAAAAGAAUAAAAAUAAAUUACAAUUUUUUCUUUUUCUCUUUGUUUUCGUGUCGCUGCUGUUGUUUUGUCUGUUUCUUUGCAGGUACGGGGUGCGUUGGCAUCGUACGGAGGCUGUGCUGGAGCUUGGCGUGAGGCGUACGAGGGCGUGUGCGGCGGUCGUACGGCGCGAGGGCUAGGGCUCGUUUGCGGUUGCAGCGCAAAAGUGAGAAAGAAACCCUAAGGUUUCUUUUCUAAAAACAUUGGGCCUAUCGGGCUUGUAAUUUGGGUCGGUUUUUGAUAUUAGGCUGUAGGGUAUUAGUUAUGUAGUUGGGUUAUGUAAUUAGACAUUCAAGGACUAUUAAUUAUUUUGGUUUUUGUUUAUUUAUUUAUUUAUUUUGGGUUUCAAAAGGGCCGGACAAAUUGGCCUGUGUACAGCUGCCCCUCUUUGUUCAUUGUUGUGUAACGAGAAUAGAGCAAAGACUUCAAAGAAGGCCAAUUUUACCCGGUUUCACGGAAUCAUGACUUCUUUGGUGCUUCUUUUCUUUAGGUAGCUUUAAUAUGCUCCAAUGCAACUUCAGGGAGACAUGGUUCGCGUGUUUUUAUCCUGGCCUACUGCAACUUCCAAGAGAUAAGGAUUGUGACUUCGAUCUGCUCCACUGCAACUUCAGGAAGACAAGAUCUUGCAAUCUUCGGCCUGUUGCCCUACUAUUUAGGGGGUUAAGGCUUGUUCUCUUCGAUCUUCUCCACUGGAACUUCAGGGAGACAAGGUCUGCAAUCUUUAGCCUACUCCUCUACAACUUUAGGGAGAUAGGGUGUUGGCUUAAAUCUGCUUCACUGCAACUUCAAGAAGACAUGAUUCGCCAUCUUUGAUCUACUCUAUUGUAACUUCAGGGAAAUAAGAUUUAUAAUCUUCAGCCUACUCCACUACAACUUUAGGAAGCUAGGAUGGUGGUUUAAAUCUGCUUCACUGCAACUUUAGGAAGACACGAUUCGUCGUCGUCGAUCCCCUCUACUGCAACUUCAGGGAGACAAGAUCUGUAGAAUUCACCAAUGUCGCUACACUGUCUUCUAAGGACAUGAUUUAUUGAAUUGGUUUCCUGUAUCUAUGCUUAUGCCAUAUAAUUAGGAUGCCAUGAUCAAAAUGAGUCAGAUGCUCCUAACUAGGUGAAUGAUUAUGAAUGUAUAAAUGUGAUGAGAGUAAUUCCUUUUUAAACGCUUAAGGUAUCAUUGCUCAUAGUUCAUCAGGGUUCCAUCAUCGGUGCGCUAUUGCGUCUUCUUGCUUAGCCGUUAUCUUUGGCAGAGAAUUUGAAGAAGUUGCCAUAAUUUGGACUAUUCUUUUCCAAUAUUUCCAACUUUUGAACCUGGUUAGUCCUGACUAGUGGCCCUGUUUCAGGUCCUUGUACUAUUUAGAGACCUUACAGAGUAAUAUGCAUAACUUCUUUUAUGUGACUAUUAUAAGUCCAAAAAUCGUGAUUUCAACAAAAAUGCUCGAAAGAGAUUAUCAUAAUGGACAAGAUGGAAUUUUGUUGAGUAAAAACUCGAAGUGAAUACAUUAAACAGAAUAGCAAAUCUGCUAAGGCACAAAAUAAGAUGAGAAAAAAAGGUGCCCCAGAUAUCGCAGCACGAGCUUCACUAUUCUAAUUUCUCAAAGGCUCUUUCGAACCAAAUGUGUGUUCAGGAGAUCCCGCGUAUUUUGUUGUUGCUCCAAAAUGUACUGUUCUUCUAUCUUGUUAAUUUUUGGAGGACAAGACCACUACAUGCCCCAUAUUCAAGAUUUGAGAUGCCCGUUUUCGGGUUUUUAACUCAAAAACCCCUUUGGUCUUAAAGUGCCCUUUGCGGGUUUUCACAUUGGCCUCUCCAUUUUUUUUUGAAAGCGCCCUUUGCGGGUUUUCGCAUUGGCCUUUCUUUCUUUAGGUAAAAUACUUCUUGACAGAAUCUAAAUUUACGGGAUGGGGCAGGUAUUUACCAUCCAUCUCGGCUAGAAUCAAUGCUCCUCCGGAGAAAGCUUUCUUCACCACGUAAGGCCCCUCCCAAUUAGGCAUCCAUUUUCCUCAAAAAUCCCCUCUGUAUGGGAAGGAUCUUUUUUAAAAUCAAGUCUCCCUCGCGGAAUUCUCUAGGGCGAACCUUUUUGUCAUAUGCUCGCAUCAUUUGUUUUUGGUACAUCUGAACAUGACGGAUAGCUCUUAGCCUCUUUUCUUUAAUUAAGUUUAAUUGAUCAUAUCGAGACUGGAUCCAUUCUGCUUCAUCCAACUUUAGUUCUGACAAGAUUCAAAAGGACGGGAUCUCGACUUCAAUUGGCAAGAUCUCUUCCAUUCCAUAGACCAAAGAGAAAGGCGUUGCCCCAGUUGAGGUUCUGACUGAUGUUCGAUAAGCAAGAAGGGCGAAUGAUAACUUCUCAUGCCAAUCUUUGUAGGUCUCGGUCAUCUUCCCCACGAUAUUCUUAAUAUUUUAAUUUGCUGCUUCUACUGCCCCAUUCAUUUUUGGGCGAUAUGGUGACAAGUUGUGGUGUCUGAUCUUGAAUUGACUGCAGACUUCCGCUAUCAUACUAUUGUUUAGGUUUAAUGCAUUGCCAGAUAUGAUCCUUUUCGGUAUCCCAUAUCGACAUAUGAUCUCUUUUUUCAGAAAUUUGCUCACUGCCGACUUUGUAACAUUAGCAUACGAAGCGGCUUCUACCCAUUUGGUGAAGUAGUCAAUAACUACAAAGAUGAGCUGAUGCCCAUUGGAAGCCUUAGGCGAUAUCGGUCCAAUCACAUUCAUACCCCACAUAGAGAAAGGCCAUGGGGAAGUCAUGACAGGCAGCGGCGAAGGAGGCACAUAAAUUUUGUCUCCACAGAUUUGGCAUUUAUGACAUCUCUUAGCGUAAUUGACACAGUCUCUUUCCAUAGUGGACCAAGAAUACUCGAAUCUCAUAAUUUUCCUGGCCAUUGUAAAACCAUUAGCGUGUGUCCCACAGACGCCCUCAUGGACUUCUUCUAGGAUUUUCUUAGCCUCUACGGCAUCUACGCAUCUUAAUAGUACUUGAUCCUUUCUUCUUUUGUAUAGAAUCUCCCCAUCUAAGACAUAAUCGAUGGCCAAUCUUCUCAGCAUUCUUUUGUCAUUCUCGUUUGCCUAGUUCGGGUAUUCACGAUUCUUCACGUAUUGUAAUAUAUCGUGAUACCAAGGGUGAUCAUCUUUUUUUUCGUCUUCUUCAAUAUCAUAACAGUGGGCCGGAGUUUCAUAAAUGCUCAUCCGGAUGGGUUUGACAUUUUCUUAUUUGUUCACCUUGAUCAUGGAAGCUAAGGUGGCCAAAGCAUCGGCCAUCUGAUUUUCGUCUCGUGGAAGGUAACAGAAAGUAAUGUCAUCGAACUCUUUAAUCAAUUUAAGGACUAGUUUUCGAUAAUCAAUCAACUUGGGGUCUCUGAUCUCCCAUUCUCCUUUGAGUUGAUAAAUCACUAGCGCAGAAUUUCCAUACACCUCUAGCACUUUAAUCUUGUGUUCUAUAGCUGCACUAAUACCUAUGAUGCACGCUUCGUAUUCUGUCAUGUUGUUCGUACAAUCAAAAUCCAAUUUGCUAGUAAAUGGAUAAUGAUCUCUCUUUGGGGAUACCAAGACUGCCUCGAUUCCAUUACCCACAGCAUUUGACGCUCCAUCGAAGUUCAGUUUCCAAGGAAGUUCUUCCGGAUCACCUUCUUCAGUAAUAAUAACACACAUCAGGUCUUCAUUCGGGAAAUCAAAAUUCAAAGACUCGUAGUCUUCGAAAGCUCUACUAGCCGAAAAAUCUGCUAUUGCACUCCCUUUUACUGCUUUCUGGUUCACAUAGACUAUGUCGAAUUCGGAGAGCAGAAUUUGCCAUCGGGCCAUCCUUCCAUUCAAAGCUGUCGACUCUAUCAUGUACUUUAAAGGGUCUAGUUUUGAAAUUAGCCAAGUAGUGUGAUACAACAUAUACUGCCUCAACCUUUGGGUUGUCCAAACUAGGGCGCAACACAACCUUUCUAUUGGCGAGUACCUUGUCUCACAUUCAGUGAACUUUUUACUAAGAUAGUAAAUAGUUUUUUCUUUCCUUCCUGAAUUAUCAUGCUGACCCAAUACGCAUCCCAUGAAAUUCUCAAAUACUGCUAAAUACAAUAUCAAUGGCUUAUCGGGGCUAGGUGGCGUUAGCACCGGAGCGUUGGAUAAGUACUAUUUGACCUUGUCGAAAACCCUUUGGCAUUCUUCAUCCCAUUCACUUGGGUUGUGUUUCUUGAGGAGGCGAAAGACAGGGUCACAUUUCUCGGUUAGUUGAGAAAUGAACCGAGCAAUGUAAUUUAAUCUUUCUAGAAAGCCUCGAACCUUUUUCUGGGUACGCGGCGGGGAUAGCUCUUGUAUGGCUUUGACUUUGUCUGGAUCAAUCUCAAUCUCUUUCUUGCUAACAACGAAUCUGAGUAACUUUCCAGAUUUGGCUCCGAAGGUACAUUUGACGAGGUUGAGUUUUAGCUAGAACUUCCUUAACCUUAAGAACAACCUCCUCAGGACUUGUACGUGCUCCUUCUCGGUUCGGGACUUUACGAUCAUAUCAUCGACAUAAACUUCGAUUUCUUUGUGCAUCAUGUCAUGAAACAUGGUUACCAUAGCCCUUUGACAUGUUGCCCCCACGUUCUUCAGUCUAAACGGCAUUACCUUAUAGCAGAACGUGCCCCACAUGGUUACAAAUAUGGUCUUCUCCAUGUCUUCAGGAUGUAUCUUGAUCUGGUUAUAUCCGGAGUAACCGUCCAUGAAUGAAAACAGUGAGUGUCCUGCCGUGUUGUCCACUAGGGUGUCAAUAUGAGGUAGUGGGAAAUUAUCCUUCGGGCGGGCUUUGUUCAAAUCUCUGUAGUCCACACACAUUCGCACUUUUCCAUCUUUCUUAAGGAUAGGGACGAUGUUGGCUACCCAAUCUGAGUAUUUUACCACAUUCAGGAAUCCAGCGUCGAACUACUUUCGAACCUCUUCUUUUAUUUUUAGCAAGACGUCGGGCCUCAUUCUUCAGAGUCUUUGCUGAACUGGCUUACAUUCUUCCUUUAUGGGGAGUCGGUGUACCACGAUAUCAGUGUCCAACCCGGGUAUAUCUUGGUAUGACCAUGUGAAGACAUCUUUGAAUUCUUGAAGUAAUUCAAUAAGGUCUCGCUUCAUCCUCAUGGUGAUACAAGUUCCGAUUUUCACCUCUUGUCCUUCUCCUAAGCUCACGAUUUCUACUGAUUCCUUAUGAGGUAGGAUUUGUUUCUCGUCUUGUUCUACCAUUCUCAACAAAUCAGGAGAUAGGUUACCGUCUUGGUCAUCUUCAAAAUCCUGAGAAUCCUCCAUAUACACAUCUCGCUCAAAAGGAAAUUCUGAGUCACUGGCGGUGUCACUCAUAUCAUUGAUAUUUGGGGACCUGUUAUAAGGAUGAAGGCAGAUACAAAGAAUCAAAAGAAUUCAAAAACAUUUAUCUGUAUGGUAUGAUUAUGAAUGACGAAUGAAAGAAUAUUUAGAAUAAUAUUUAAAGAAUAAAAGAAUCCGAAAGUAAUCGUUUGUAUAGUAGGAUUAUGGAUGAAAUUGAAAGAAUGAGAGAACAUUUGCUCAAAAAUGAUAAUAACUGUGUAUUUCAUUGAAAUAACGUUUUUAAACAUCAACCUAUUUCACAAAAGAUUCUUAUUACUCCUAGGCCUAGAGCAAUAAGUGUGUUUUGGACAUUACUCUGAAUCAGUUCUAAAAACUAUAGGAAUCUCUUUUGCAGUCCAGUUAUCCAGAACACUUCCAGGUAUAUAGGGGCAAAUGCCCGACAAAUUUUCUCUUCCAGUCUCUUCGUCAUAUGUGGCGUUGAUGUCCAAGCUUUCCAACCUUUCUUCUAUGGCUCCCUCCACUGGCGUGCCUCUCUUGGGAUGGACGAUUCCUCCGGACACAAAGGUUUUCGAUAUAUUGGGGAAUAUCAUUGGCUCCCAUUUGAUUUCCUCCCCCAUUAACCGCGCUCUCCUUCUUUCUUACUUCUUGUCUAGCUCCCUUCUUCUUUGUUUCGCAUCUAGUUUAAAUCUUAAGCUGAAACGGUCUCUUUUGUCCUUCAAUAUUGGCGUUUUAACCCUUCCUUGGAUAUGUCUCCCAAGUUCUCUUCCGGGUAGAGCCCCUUUUCCAACCAUCAACUGUAAGCUCAUCUUCGUAGUUUUGAACAAUUUUGGCACCAGAAUCUUGCUUCCCUCGGCGAUGAACAUUGCAUUAACAAUUUUCAAAGAUCGAAAUGAGCAUUCGAUUGCUUUGUCAUCUGUCUCCAAAUAAGGCACAUUAUUGCUUAUAGUUGCAAUGAUAUCCUCUUCAGCAUUGAUCGUUAUCAACUGCCCCUCUGAUACCAGCUUCAACUUUUUCAUGCAACGAUGAAGGCACUGCCCCGGCUGAAUGUAUCCAGGGCCUUCCAAAUAAGUAAUUGUAUGAGGGCUUGAUAUCCAUUACUAAGAAAUCCACCUCAUACGUGUUUGGCCCGAUCUGAAGAGGUACCUCAAUUCUGCCCAUCACCCUUCUCUUCGUGCCAUCGAAUGCUUUCACUAUGUUCUGGCAGUCCAUCAUGUGAGAGCUGUCUAUAGGUAAUCUGUUAAGCGUGGUUAAUGGCAGAACAUUCAAGGCCGAUCCGUUGUCAAUGAGUACGCCUAACAGCGUAUAUCCCUUACAGCGCGUGGUGAUAUGGAAAGCUUUAGUCGACCCCAUGCCCCCGGGUGGUAUCUCGUCGUCAUUGAAGAAGAUAUAGUUGUCGGCGCUUAUGUUGCUAACCAAAUGGUCCAGUUUGUUAACGGAGAUAUCAUUGGCAACAUAUGUUUCAUUCAAGACCUUCAUCAGCGCGCUGCGAUAAACUUCCGAGCUUAGAAGUAAGACCAGCACCGAGAUACGAGCUAGUUGUUUACGUAGCUGUUCCACCACGCUGUACUCACUGUACUUCAGGAAUUUUAGAAACUCCUUAGCCUCCUCCUCGUUAACUGGCUCAUUGACAGGAAGUUUAGACUUGGUCACUUUUUCCUUCAUCUUUUCGACCACUAGGGCUUUUCCUUUUACGAGUUGUGCCUUUUCGCUUGUUGUAUCGUAACGUUUCCCACUACGUGUAUAAGAGCCCCCAUCUUGAUUCUUCUUUGAAGUGUCAACCAGGCUUUGCUUUCCUGGAAUCGUUACGUUGUAAUCAUAAUUCCAUGGGACCCUUUUGCUGUCUUUGUAGAGGAAGACUGCAGGUCUUUGGAUUAUAACCCUCGGUGGCAUUCGCACUCCAGCUUCAUUAUUUUUGGGUCGCGAUAUGAUGACCACGGGGUAGUUAACUGCUUGAUUCUGCACCGUCGAUUCUCCCUCUGAUGCGUAUAUAUCUCCCUCUCUGGGGUUUUUAGUUUCUUCAUAAAACUUAAUCUCUUUAUUGUUUAUUAAGUCUUGUAAUAGGGCCUUGAACUCUACACACUCUUGGAUUUCAUGCCCCACCUCAUUGUGGAACUCGAAUAGUUCCUCUCUUCUUUAGAUUCUUUCCUUGAAUCCAACGAGAUCAACCCUCUCUUGACCAUCUCCUCCCAUACCCGUCUCAAUGGGGUCCUGACUUCUGCAACCUCAUUUUGAUCCUCUUGUUCCUACCUUCGCUUAUCUCGUUCACUCAUUGGUCAGAAUGAUUGGGGAGUGGGUUUCCUGCUACAUUAGGUGUGGAUGGGUCGUCAAACCUCACGAUCCCUAUUUUAAUUAGUCUUUAGACUACUUUCUUGAAUGCUGUGCAGUUUUCGAUUGAGUGCCCAGUGAUUCCCGCGUGGUAUUCACAUUAGGCGUUUGUGUCAUACCAUUUGGGAUACGGGGGCUGUAGUGGCUUCAGGUAAAAAGGGGACACUACAUGAGUGUUGAACAGGUUCUGGUAUAGCUCCCUAUACGUCAUGGGUAUAGGGGUGAAUUGCGGCCUUUCUGUGCUCUCCAUCUUUGUGUGUAUUGUCUGAAACUUUCAUUUGACUUCUUCUCCAUGUUCUGGAGAGUGAUUCUGUCGGGGGUCAUGUCUGUCACAUGAUUGUAUUGUUUCAUAAAGGCCUGAGCCAGAUCCUUCCACGAGUUAAUUUUAGCGCGGCUUAAUUGGUUAUACCACUUAGAUGCCGCCCCAACCAGACUGUCUUAAAAACAGUGCAUUAAUAGCUGGUCAUUGUUAACGUAUCCCGCCAUUCGCCUACAGAAUAUAGUGAUGUGAGCUUCAGGGCAGCUCGUUCCAUUGCAUUUCUCGAAUUCGGGCAUUUUGAAUUUGGGGGGAAGGACCAAAUCUGGGACCAAACUCAGGUCCUUAGCAUCAACCCCUUGACGAUUGUCCGCGCUUUCCAUAGCUCUAAAUUUCUCAUCAAUGCAUCUACACCGUUCUUCCAAUUGUUUCUGCAAAUCUAUCUUCGCCUAUUCUUCUUCAGUAGCUUCGUCAAAAUCGGGAACGGGCGAAUAAUUUAGGUUAUUAAUGAGGUUAGAGCUUGAGCCGGGUUAGAAAUUUAUUGGUAUCGAAGCUCCGACCUGAAUCUGCUAAGGUAUGAUCGUAAUAGAUGGUUUUUAUAGAUUAAUCUCGGGCUGCAUCGGUGCCUAUGUCGGAGUGAAGCUAGGGGGUAUUGAGGAUCUUCAUUAGUUUCAUCAACGUUGUCCAUGGGGCCCUUUCCCUUAUCCGUUCUUCCCAAUAGCAAUUGGGAUAACUGACUCAUCAUUUCUCUCUGGGAUUCCAUCAUUUGCUCCUUCAUCUCUCACUGAAUCUUGGCUAGCUGCUUUGCAUCUAGGACUGCAUUCUUUCCUGCAUGUCCUUUUGCAUUUGCUCUAAUUUCUCAAGUCUUUUAUCCAUUGACUUUUUCCUUAUACCGUAGGGGUGUGUAGUUGGUUGGUUUUCGUUGGUUUCCAGGUUACUGAAAUGAUUUUUAAUUAAUUAAUUAGAAACCUCUUAUGACCUUUAAUGCAUAGUGAUAUGAUGUAAUGCAAAUGCAUGAAUACAAAGGAGGCAUCAAUUUUGAUUCAAUUCCCUUUAGAAAACUUCACUAGAAAAUAAAAUUAUUUUACAUAAAGUUGAGUUACAAAUAAAAUUUUGCUCUAACGCUUAAAGUCUUAAUUUUUCUAAGCAACGAGGCCAGCUCCUAUCCGCGAUCUGACUCCAACUCAUACUUCACGCUCAGUGUGUCUGCCUAUACCGCUAAAGCUUGCAAGUAGUCAGCUACCUCUCGAAUCUGGGUUAUGGCUUCCCCCAUAAGGUAAUCCCUGUUUCUGACUUGGUCUUGCGCAUGGUGAAGCUGCUCUUUCCAACGGUCCUCAUUCGCCUCAAAAAACUGAAUCCGCAUCUUACAGUUUUGCAGUGACACCUCUAACUCUUCUAUUUUUCCUUUCAUUUCUUCUAUCUUGCUCAAGCUUGCCCUCAAUUCCAUUGCAGUGUUGCGGUUUCGGUACUAAUGAAGAGACUUCUCAAGUUCUGCCACUCUAGCCUUUAAUUCGCUUCUUCAUUUCUGCCUUCUGACAGACUCUUCUCUAAAUCUUCAUUUCGCGCCUAAACUUCUCAGAAUUUCCUUUCCCAUCGGUUGGCUUUGGUUUUUUCUUCUCGAAUUCUAUGGCGCCAUUGUUCGAAAGUCUUACCUAACCCCGCAGUCAUCAUAGACAGGCGCAGCUUCUUAUAGUCAGUCUUUAAGCUGUCUAGAUCUUCUUCGGCCUUAGUUUUCCCUUUUCUCCACUUCUUAGCCUCUGACCUUUGGACAUUAGCGUCUAAUCUCAAGUGCAUCUUCUCUUCCUCCAAUUGUUCGAUCUUUUUUCCAAGCUCUGAACUCUUCUUUUCGAAGUUUUGCUUUAUAACUUCCAACUCUGACGGGGCGACUUGCAAUUGUUCCUCCAUAGGUCGAGUAUUUUCCAAGCUUGGCCUAGGAACGUUAUCAUUAACCCUUUUUCUAAACCAUCCGUCAUACUCGGACGUUACCAUGAAACCAACGACCAACCUCUUCAUCCAACAAGUUUGUUUCCAAGCAUCCGAUAGUUCCCGAACUUUCUUCUUAUAGUGAGCAACUUUAAAGGAGAAUUCACACUAAGCAAGUCCGUAGGUCGUAGGUACAAACUGCCUCGACUUAUAUUACCUCAAUGUAAGCAAUGAAGUAUACCCGCUAGCUCCCAAAAUCCUAACAAUGGCACCCAAUCAAAAUUACCACAUCGGUACAUGAUCUCAUCAGGCACCAUCCAAUAAGCUCUCCACUCUAUAUCCCCCUCCUUGAGGUUUUGGAGGAUUUCUAUCCACUUCUCCUCUGAGAUAUCUUCUCUCCUUUGUAUGGCUGUCUCUUCUUUUAACGGGGAAUAACCUUCGAAAAAGACCCAAUAAGAAACCUUGUCUACUUUCCAAAAGUGCCCAUGAAACCAUACCAUCAAUAAUUGUACGUACCCAAUAAACCGUCCCUCACCUGUCUUCUGACAUGAGCUCAAAGACCUGAACGUCUCAGCCAAUAUCGCUGGUACCGAUGUGAUUCCCUUCUUAAGGCGAUCGAAUAAGUCAAUGACUGCCUUGUCCACGUGCCUCAAAGCCUUAGGAAAAAUUACCAGUCCAUAGAUGCUUAAGGCGAAGAUAUAGACCCUCUUUCUUUCAUCUAGAUACGUCAAAAUCAAAUCUCGCAAAUUCUCCCAAGGGAUACAUUUACUAUCUCCUUUUUGUUGAAUCUGAGCAGUGACCCAAGGCUCACUCAUCCCUGAAAUGCUCAUCAAUUUCUUCAUAAAAGUCUGACCACUGAAAACCCGGGCAUAAGUCUUUCUGACCUGAAUUUUUGGACACCUAAGCAGAGUAGUGUAUUCGUCGAUUGCAGAUACCAAAUCCACUUCUCUAAAAGUGAAACAUUUGUAAGCAGAAUUCCAAAACUACACCAUAACUCGGAACAGAUGUUUAUCCACUCUAAUGUCUAGCAAGUAGGAUAUAUCACCAUAGCUUUGAUAAAACAACUGCUUGGUCCCUUCAUCCCAACUAGCCCAAAUAUCUCUCAACUCUUGCAGCUCAUUCUGUGCUACAUUGACGCGAGUGAAUUCCUACAACUCUGAUAUAUAUCCUUCUGCCAGGCUAUCCCCUUUUUCUGAUUCUAGCUUCUCUAACCAUGCACGAACGGCCGCAUUAUCCUUGACUUUACUAAGAAAUUCAUUCUCCAUGUCAAACUUUCUAACUUAGCAAUUGAAUACGAAUCAACACCUCCUUUAGUAUGCAAUGUCAUGCAAAAAAAAUCAAAACAAAACACAGGUUAGUAUCAAAUAAUGGCGAUAAAAUGCAAGUAUAUAAACGAUAAUUACAACGCAUAUACGGGUAAGUACUAAGGCUUGACGCGGCUCCACUCGAGGAUAGCUCCUAAGGUUCACUAUAUGUGAUUCGGUUCUAGAGAUAAGGUACCCGAACCAGCAGAUCCCUCAAUCCUCACCCAUUAUAGCCUCAUAUAGAUCGAAUUCGGUUCAGGGGGAUACAUUUUCCUAUAACCAUGCGGAGAUGAAAAUCACACGAAAUCAUAGGUACGGAUGUACCCCGGAAGCAAUCCACUAGCCCAUGCGGAAGUGAAAAGCUCACGAAAGCGUAGUUUCUUACUCCCACUUAGAAGCUGUGACCACAGCGGUCAUGCAAUGAAAUGCAGUAUUAUUCUACGAGAUUCGAACCAUAACAACCAUACAAACAAAUGCGAUCAUGAUUUUCAAAACAAGUUUUUGAUUUUUGACAAAAGGACAGCAAAUAAUCAAUUUUAUGGCUAGACUCUCUUAACCGGUCCCCAGUGGAGUCGCCAAACUAUCGAAACCAUCUUUUUAUUUAAAAUUUUAAGUUCAAUAAAAAAUGGAGAAUCGACUAUUUGAAAAUAAAAACAUGGAGUCGCCACCGAUCUUUUUGUUUUGGUGUGAUCGACUCACCUAAGAAUUUGGCUAUUAAAACAUUUCUGGUUUAUUAAAACAAUGAUUUUGGUCUAUGAACUUUUGAGAAAACAGGUUCGGGAGUCGAUUACGUAUGAGGAAGGAUUAGCACCCUCACUACGCUCAAAAUUGGUACCAAAUCGAUUAAAUACUGUCCUUACGUCUAAGAUUUAAAAAUGUUUUUGAAAUGUGGUUCCCUUUUGAUAAUAUUUGAAUAACCCGAGUUGGUUAUCAAAAUUAUCUUGCUUAAGAGGCAUAUAACACCACAUCUAGCACGAUAGGACACGAUCUUUCAUGCCCUCGAAAGCAUGACAAAUUUUGACUUCCAAAAAUUUAUACGUUGAAAACCGUAAAAGGAUGCCCAAUUAUUUAGUCCAACGAGAAGAUCGAAACCCAGCACAGUAGGGUACGACUCCUCGAAUUUCUAGAUAUCAGACAUUGCCUUAUUUUAGAAUUUAAAAAGUAUGAGUGAAAUUCUAAAGGAAUCUUCGAUCAUUUUGGACAAACAGAAAAUUGCAACCCAACACAUUAGGGUACGAUUACCCGAAUUGCCAAACUUCGAAUAUUACCUUCAUUUUGAAGAGUUUUUAGAAAACGUAAAUGAAAUUCUAAAGGGACAUUCGAUUAUUUUGAGCAAACGAGAAAUUGCAACCCAGCAUGUUAGGGCACAAUUCCGCGAAUUGUCAAAUAUCGAACAUCGCCCUCGUUUUAAAGGAUUUUUAGGAGACAUGAGUGAAAAUUUGAAGGAAUAUUCGAUUAUUUUGAGCAAACGAGAAAUUGCAACUCAGCACGUUAGGGCAAGAUUCCGCGAAUUGUCAAAUAUCGAACAUCACCUUCGUUUUAAAGAAUUUUUAAACGAAUAAUUAUAAAAAUAGCUUAAAACAUAUUAAUGCGACUCGAAAUAAAACGAAAUUAAUCAUAAAAAUUUAGAUUUUAUAAAACCACAUUUCAUAAACCAAGUGGAAAACGAUGAUAUGGGGUAAUAUGUAUAUGCAUAAAAUACGACAAUGGAAGAGUGGGGGGUAAUACAAUUUAUUUAACCAACUAACAAACACUUACAACUAAGUAUAACUAACUUGGAAAUAUAGCUCAAUUUCAAUCAUGCAUGGAGAAUAAUUAACAUGACAAUACAAAACAAUGAAUAAAUAAAUAAUGCAAUGGUAACAUGCAUGGCAUAAUGUAAUAUGACUACUACUAGAUACACAAAACAAAAUGCAAAUCAAAGAAGUAAUAUGGUAUAAAACUAUUUUAAAACAAUGAUAAAUAAACGAUGCACACUAUAUGAAUUGAUGGAUUGAUAAAUAAAACAUUUGUAAAGGCAAGCUUAAUAUACAUAUGCGAUCAUUAAAAUAUAUAUUGUAGAAUGAAUCUUUUUUUUAAAAUACAUAAUAUAUAAGUUGAUAAAUUUGCGUAGAAACUAAGAAUAUGUAAUCAUUGAAAGAAAUAUUAUAGAAUAAAACUUUGAAUCAAAUUGCAUGUAAAUAUUUUAAAUACAAACUCCUUUAAAGGUUUACAAAGUACAUGAUAAUUUGAAUAAUAUAUGUACAAAAGAAUAAUAAAAAUACAUGACAAGACAUAAUACCCAAAAUAGAUUUAUAAAAAAUGUACAUGUAAAUUUAUAAAAAGAAUGAGAUUAAUAAUAAUAAUAUAUAUAUAUAAAUUUUAAGUUAGUCUAAAAAUUAUACAUGCCUUCAUAUCAAAACAUUUAAAUAAUAGGCUAUAUAAAACACAAAGUAAGUUAAUACAAAGGAACAUCUAAAAAUAAUAAUUUUAUAAUUACAAAAAAAUGAGGUUUCUAAAAUUGUUUCACAUAUAUGUAUAAUUAUUAAACUAUAUGUUAUGGAAUAAAUAUUUUAAUCGAAUGACAUACAAAAUAUUGAAGAAUAUUAGCUUAAAAUUAACAAUUUUCAUAAAUAUUUUAAAUUAUGUACCAAAUAUGAAGAGAUUACAAAUAUAUAUAUAUAUAACUUUAGAAGUAAUUAUUUGUAAAAACAUGUAAGACAUACAAGAUUAAAUUAAUUUUAUUAUACAUUUCACAAUAGACUUAAGAACGUGCCUAUAGAUGUAAGAAAACUAUAGGCAUAAAAUGUAUCGACUUAGAAAUAUAUAUAUCAAAUAUGUGUACUAAUAUAAGUAAGUAUAAAAAUAAUUUAAACUUUAUGUAAAACAUAUAUACAAAACAUGUUAGAAUAACAAAAAUAUAUAUACCAAAAUACAUGGAUAGGGUCAAAAAUCAUUAUAUGCAUGAAAAUACGUUAACUUUGUUAUAAAAUAUGUAUAUGUAUAAUAAUAUAAAGGAGAUAAACAAUUAAAGUAUACAAAGUAUGAUAAUAAUAUUACAAAAACGAAUCUACAACAAUGAAGAAACAAUUAUCAAAAUUGCUUAAAAUGUACAAAUGAAUAAAUAAAGAAAAUAAAAAGGGCUAUAAAAUAAAAAGACUCAAUUAAAAUUAAACUAAAACACACGGGGUAAUUUGAAAAUAAAUCAAUAAUUAUAAAAGGACCUAUAGGUAACGCGCGCAGCUGUGUAGGGACUUAAACUGGAAAUAUUCUAGACCCCCAAAACGCAACACACAAGUGCGGACCAAAAUACAAAUACACGCAAAUUAUGGGUAAAAUUUAAAAAUAAAAAAAAUACGAAUAUUAACUGAUUUGAAAACGGGGCGAAAAGGAAAGGAUUUAUAUUGCAAAAAAACCCUCACCGCAAACACACGCGUGUCAUCGGGGCAGCAAACCGGAUCGGGUCGGGCGUGACUAGACGAUGUCGUUUUUGAGCCAUUGAAACGGGCUUGAAACGGCGUCGUAUUCGACCCUUUAAAAAGACCGAAAACUAAAUCAUUCGACCAAACAAACCCUAGCCUCCCCUUUUCUCCAACCGAACUAAGCCAAACCCCUUUGGCCAUGGCCCCAUCGCAACCUACAACCGACCGAUUUACUGCCCCGUGAUUCCUCCUCCACCUUCGACUUCAACGAGGCAAGGAAGAAUUAAUGGCGGAUUCACGAGGUAAGGCUUCAUUUUUCUCUUUUCUUUUAUUUUUAGAUGCAAAGAAUGAAAAAGAAAAUCAGAGGGAGCAGAUCAAGAGAGAAAAAACGUAAUAAACCCCAGAGAUUCAAAACAGGAAAUCACCUUGCUCUGUUUUUUUUUGCUUUCUAUUGCUUCUGUAUGCCUCCAGAAGACUUUACAAUCGCAAAACGAAAGGCUUUAUAGCCGAGUGUUCCAAAAAAGAAUAAAAAUAAAUUACAAUUUUUUCUUUUUCUCUUUGUUUUCGUGUUGCUGCUGUUGUUUUUUUGGUUUCUUCGCAGGUACGGGGUGCGUUGGAAUCUUACAGAGGCUGUGCUGGCGCUUGGCGUGAGGCGUACGAAGGCGUGCGUGGUGGUCGUACGACGCGAGGGCUGGGGCUCGUCUGCGGUUGCGGCGCAAAAGUGAGGAGGAAACCCUAAGGUUUCUUUUCUCAAAACAUUGGGCCUAUCGGGCUUGUAAUUUGGGUCGGUUUUUGAUAUUGGGCUGUAGGGUAUUAGUUAUGUAGUUGGGUUAUGUAAUUAGACAUCCAAGGACUAUUAAUUAUUUGGGUUUUUGUUUAUUUAUUUAGGGUUUCAGAGGGGCCAGGCAAAUUGGCCUGUUUACAUAUAUCUAAUUUAAUUAUUAAUUAAAAUUAACAUGAUUAUAAGUAAUGCCAACAUCUGUCCAUC